CCAGGGGUGCCGGAGUGGCCAAUCGGAACAGACUGUAAAUCUGUCGGGCUUGCCCUACGAAGGUUCGAAUCCUUCCCCCUGGA
rnacentral:tRNA from 3 species